CAAAUACUCCCUCCGUCCAGAAAUACUUGUCAUCAAAAUGGAUAAAAGGAAAUGUAUCUAGACGUAUUUUAGUUUUAGAUACAUCUCUUUUUAUCCAUUUUGAUGACAAGUAUUUUCGGACGGAGGGAGUAGAAA
rfam:Triticum aestivum genome assembly, contig: Triticum_aestivum_CS42_TGACv1_scaffold_641716_T_7AL-0.063645_7BL-0.039515